AAUUACAAAACUACCAUGGUUCCUUCUCUUUCUUUAUCUUCUGUCUCUUGUCUCUCUCUGUGUUUCUUUAGGAUGAACGACUCCUCCAAACCACCACAACCACCACAGCCACCACUCUCUACUAUCUUAAAAGAGAAAGUCGGUGGCUAUUCCACCGACCCCUCUUCAAUUUUUCAUCUCAUGACCCUUCUUCUAUUUUUCCUCUAAGUUAUCACUACCAACAAUCGAAAUUACAGAACACAAGAUUGACGAAAUCAAAAUGCAUACAAACUCAUUCUCAAUCCAUAAAAAGGAAAAAAUACGAAGCCGGACCUCCACGGUGGUUCACCGUCAAGGCAGACGGCGACGAUGGCGAUGCCAUCGUUUCUGGAGGCGGAUGCGGCGGCUCCGAUGGGUUCCGUUUUUACAACCAUGAUCUCCGGCGAACCGCUAUGAUUUUUUAAUCGAAGAUUGAUGACUCUUAGGCCACCCUCGACAUGUUAGAUUGUAGCUUUAUUGACGAAUUCUUAUGGUUUUUCAGUUUUUGCUUUUCCAAGGUUUGUAAUUGUAAUACUGUAGGUUCCCGUUCCUGCAUCUUUAUAUUGGAAAAUGAGUUUUAUGAGCUGUAAUUUAGGGUUAAUCUUCAUUGUUGCUUGAACUUUAUUGAAUUUAAUCUCCAUAUAUUUAGUCUUCCGUUGUUACCAUGUUGUAAUUUAAAUUUGCCCUCUAAUUAAAUGAAAAGUAAACAUAAAUUGAUGUUCUACAAGAAAUUGAAGCUCUGCACACCAUGUGUUCGCUUAAAUGCUCAUUUCAGAUUUACAUUUGAAUUUGAGGAGGGCUACAUCAUUCUUGAGUGAUAAAAGAUACAUAAUCAGUUGAAGAAGCCUCCCUUUCUUUGUAGGCGGAGGUGAGUAUGUCCUAUUACCAAGUCAUUUAUUCUUUAUUCUAAUUGUGUGAGUAUAUUUCCUCUUAUUCUUUUCAUUUUCCAACGAGAGUUAAAGUUUUGUGCCCUUUGAAGAUUGGGGAUAAGAAACCAGAUGAUAUAAGGACGAAUAAAGAUUGGUAGUCGAGUUGGAUAACAGGUCAAAACUGGCUUCGGUUUGAAACGAGACAUUGCAAUAUUAUGGUAUGCUUAUUAUGAUUUAAUAUAAAAUAGCCUUUGGGUUGAAGCGAUUCAGAUUUAUGACAUCCCUAAAAAAGGGUGUGCAUGUUCCCAACCCAGCUUUCAUGUACUGUGUAAACACUACUAUAGAAGAAGAGAGUGACGAUGCAAAAGUUGUUUUCUUCAACGAAGCGUUGGAACAAAUGCUGGAAAAAAGUUGUUGGGGGGGGGGGGGGUGAACAAAGUUGGGGUACUACCCGUCCUAGCAACCCGGAUCCUAAAACAACUACCAAAAGAAGAAGACCACAUUCGCCAGACAAUGAAACAACGGGAAAGCAAGCAAGGAAGUAAAAGGAUAAUGCGGAAGGUAACGUUUUUGACAAGCCAGAAAAACCCAAAUCCAUGUUGAUUUUCUAGGGGAAAAAAGCCAACAGGAAAGGCUUUGCCUCCAUAUGCAACAACACAACGUCAACAUUUGAAGUAACGGAAGACAUUUUGGCUCCAGCGACAACGUGACAAAACUGGGAAGGUAACUAGCAAGGACACCGACUUUUGAAGAAAAAAACCUUAACAAAAAACUAUUUAUAAGACUAUUACUCUUAUCAAAGUUGUAGUAUAAAUCCUCCUUAUUGUAACCCAUGACCUCUAUAUGUAGUUGAAUGUUAUUGUAAUCGAUUAUCACCUAUUAGAUUACCCAA